UACGUAGGGUGCGAGCGUUGUCCGGAAUUAUUGGGCGUAAAGAGCUUGUAGGCGGUUUGUCGCGUCUGCCGUGAAAAUCCGGGGCUCAACCCCGGACUUGCGGUGGGUACGGGCAGACUAGAGUGAUGUAGGGGAGACUGGAAUUCCUGGUGUAGCGGUGAAAUGCGCAGAUAUCAGGAGGAACACCGAUGGCGAAGGCGGGUCUCUGGGCCGAUACUGACGCUGAGGAGCGAAAGCGUGGGGAGCGAACAGG
rnacentral:rRNA from 1 species